AAUGUAUUCAGCUGACCAAUACUAAUAGGUCGAGGGCUUGAUCAAAUAUUUAUUAU
rnacentral:rRNA from 1 species